GGACUACACGGGUAUCUAAUCCCGUUCGCUCCCCUAGCUUUCGCCCAUAAGCGUCAGUGGCUCCCCAGGACACUGCCUUCGCCUUUGGUAUUCCUCCGGAUAUCUACGCAUUUCACCACUCCACCCGGAAUUCUGUGUCCCUCUGAAGUCCUCAAGUCCGCCAGUCUUCGAGGCGCUCGCUCGGUUAAGCCGCGCGCUGUAACCCCAAACUUGGCAGACCGCCUGCGGGCCCUUUACGCCCAAUAAAUCCGGACAACGCUCGCCCCCUACGUAUUACCGCGGCUGCUGGCAC
rnacentral:rRNA from 1 species